rnacentral:rRNA from 1 species
GAAGCUGGAAUUGCUAGUAAUGGCAGGUCAGCAUACUGCCGUGAAUACGUUCCCGGGCCUUGUACACACCGCCCGUCACACCAUGAGAGUUGGAAAUACCCGAAGCCUGUGAGCUAACAGUAAUGAGGCAGCAGUCGAAGGUAGAGCCAAUGAUUGGGGUGAAGUCGUAACAAGGUAGC